AUCACUUCUCAACCUUUUGGCUGAGAUCAAACGUAGUAUCUGUUCUGAUCAGUUUAAUAUCUGAUAUGCUAUCUAUCCAAUGACAAUAUAUUAAAUGGAUUUUUGGCACUAGGAAGUGGAAUAAUAGGAGCUCACGCCAUCCAUUUCACAUGUCAGCCUGGUAUCACAAUACCUCCAGGACUAAUGCACUCCUU